AGAGUUUGAUCAUGGCUCAGAACGUACGCUGGCGGCACGCUAACACAUGCAAGUCGAACGAAGUAGCAAUACUUAGUGGCAGACGGGUGAGUAACAUGUAGGUAUCUGCCCUUUGGCCUGGAAUAACACGAGGAAACUUGUGCUAAUACCGGAUAAGUCUUUACGGAGAAAGCUUUAUGCACCAUUGGAUGAGCCUGCACUUGAUUAGUUUGUUGGUGGGGUAAUGGCCUACCAAGACUGUGAUCAAUAGCUGAUUUGAGAGGAUGAUCAGCCACAUUGGGACUGAGACACGGCCCAAACUCCUACGGGAGGCAGCAGUGGGGAAUCUUGCACAAUGGAGGAAACUCUGAUGCAGCGAUGCCGCGUGAGUGAAGAAGGCCCUUGGGUUGUAAAGCUCUUUCGUCGGGGAAGAAAAUGACUGUACCCGAAUAAGAAGGUCCGGCUAACUUCGUGCCAGCAGCCGCGGUAAUACGAAGGGACCUAGCGUAGUUCGGAAUUACUGGGCUUAAAGAGUUCGUAGGUGGUUGAAAAAGUUGGUGGUGAAAUCCCAGAGCUUAACUCUGGAACUGCCAUCAAAACUUUUCAGCUAGAGUAUGAUAGAGGAAAGCAGAAUUUCUAGUGUAGAGGUGAAAUUCGUAGAUAUUAGAAAGAAUACCAAUUGCGAAGGCAGCUUUCUGGAUCAUUACUGACACUGAGGAACGAAAGCAUGGGUAGCGAAGAGGAUUAGAUACCCUCGUAGUCCAUGCCGUAAACGAUGUGUGUUAGACGUUGGAAAUUUAUUUUCAGUGUCGCAGCGAAAGCGAUAAACACACCGCCUGGGGAGUACGACCGCAAGGUUAAAACUCAAAUGAAUUGACGGGGACCCGCACAAGUAGUGGAGCAUGUGGUUUAAUUCGAAGAUACGCGCAGAACCUUACCAACACUUGACAUGUUCGUCGCGACUCUAAGAGAUUAG
rnacentral:rRNA from 1 species